UGGUUUGCCUGCCAACAGGAAAUUCAACAGCCCUGCUUCAGCUGCCUGUGGGCUGCCGUGAUAAAGGCCUAUUGCGUGUUCAGAUAGAUAUUCAGUAUGUG